UUUUUUGCUUACCGUAGUUUCCCCAGAUACCGAUGGUUCUAGGAUUCGAAGACAAGCUGCUGUUUUCUUUCUCUCCGUUAACUUUUAGUCCCUAAAGAACAUACGUCUAAGUACAAAGUGGCAUUCAUUGCACUACUUACCUUAAACUAGACGCGAUAAGCUGUUAAGUUGUUUGCGAUCUGUGAAAAAGGCAAUAUAAACAUUGAAGCAGGAUUUACAAUAUUGUACAAGCAUCCCGCUAGUUAAUUUAACCGCUUGUAAGUAUUUGUGUAUUGUUUGAGCAGUAAUAUAUGCUUAUCUGUUCAUUUUCAUAGUGCCUCUUUUAGUAAAUAUCUUAAACGGCAAGAUUUGCUUCCUGGAUGUUUAGCAAGGACAGACAGGACACCGUGCAGGGCUUUAAAUUGCAGGACACAUCUCCCCCCAGGUCCUCCCCACUCGCUGACCUCUCCACCUCAGCCUGCACCCUCUUCAGCUCCAUCUGCAGCUCCCGGUUCGCUUGCUCCAGGUGCUGCAUGGCCUCCUCGCUACGCUGCUCCUGCGCCUCCAGCUGAGACACCUCCUCCAGGACCUCCUCAAGCUCCGCCUCCAGCUGGCAGCGCUCCGCCUUCGUCUCGGCCUGCAGGCGCUCCACCAAGUCCGACAGUGCAGGCACCUCUCUCCGAGGAGGGCGACCCGCUGGUCCAGCUCCUCCUCGGUUCUCCUCAGGAUGUCCCUGAGCCUGGCCAGCUCCUGCUCUUGAUGGCUCACGGCAUUUUGGGAAUCUCGCAGCUCCCGAGUCCGCUGCUCCAGCUGCCUCUCCACCUCUCCACACGUACUCCUGGAGUCUUGCAGCGCCCAGUCACGUCUCUCCAGCUCCUGCUCCUUCUCCCCAAGCGCAUUCCGGGAUUCUGACAGCUCUUCAGUGCACUGCUUCAGCUGGUGCUCAAGAUCUCUGCAGAAAAUUCAACAUGGGCUUUGAAUCACAAACUAAAGCUUACUGCAGCUGUGUGAACUUUUAAAAACGUAUGAUUAUCUAUGAAUAACAGUAGGGGCCCUAUUUCAAUUACCUAAAGCGAAUAAGUGUAAGUUCAUUCAGCGCAUGGCCUAGCCACUUUUGCUAGAUUAACGCCAGAAGAGUCACCGCUCCAACCGCAUCCACCAGAAGGGUUGUACCAAGUCUCACAAAAAGUCAUGGGUGUGUUUGAGCCAUAACAUGCUAUAAACCAAAGUGUCAUCUCGCAUUCCCUAAGAGCCAGGAGACCUGCGGCUGUGAAGUUCGCUACAGGACAGAUUUCCAUCCCUGAAUGUGGGAGCUCAAAUGUUACGUCAUUAUCAGAAUACUAUUUAUGUACGCGAGUGAAUAGAAAAGGUAAAAAAAAUAAAUUCACAGAAUAAAAGAAAAAUAGGGUUACUAUGCCUAAUUUGGUUUAUACACAGACUGCCUAUGCUAGAACUUCCGGAAGAACGUUACCAUUUUGAAAGCUGGAAGAGACAGUAUGAGAAACGCUGGAGGACGAAAGUGCCUGCUUAGAGAAAGACGAAUAAAACACUGCAUACCGA